UAGGGAAUCUUCCGCAAUGGGCGAAAGCCUGACGGAGCAACGCCGCGUGAGUGAUGAAGGUCUUCGGAUCGUAAAACUCUGUUAUUAGGGAAGAACAAAUGUGUAAGUAACUAUGCACGUCUUGACGGUACCUAAUCAGAAAGCCACGGCUAACUACGUGCCAGCAGCCGCGGUAAUACGUAGGUGGCAAGCGUUAUCCGGAAUUAUUGGGCGUAAAGCGCGCGUAGGCGGUUUUUUAAGUCUGAUGUGAAAGCCCACGGCUCAACCGGGGAGGGUCAUUGGAAACUGGAAAACUUGAGUGCAGAAGAGGAAAGUGGAAUUCCAUGUGGAGCGGUGAAAUGCGCAGAGAUAUGGAGGAACACCAGUGGCGAAGGCGACUUUCUGGUCUGUAACUGACGCUGAUGUGCGAAAGCGUGGGGAUCAAACAGG
rnacentral:rRNA from 1 species